rnacentral:rRNA from 1 species
GAUGAACGCUGGCGGCGUGCCUAAUACAUGCAAGUCGAGCGAACAGAUAAGGAGCUUGCUCCUUUGACGUUAGCGGCGGACGGGUGAGUAACACGUGGGUAACCUACCUAUAAGACUGGGAUAACUUCGGGAAACCGGAGCUAAUACCGGAUAACAUUUGGAACCGCAUGGUUCUAAAGUGAAAGAUGGUUUUGCUAUCACUUAUAGAUGGACCCGCGCCGUAUUAGCUAGUUGGUAAGGUAACGGCUUACCAAGGCAACGAUACGUAGCCGACCUGAGAGGGUGAUCGGCCACACUGGAACUGAGUCACGGUCCAGACUCCUACGGGAGGCAGCAGUAGGGAAUCUUCCGCAAUGGGCGAAAGCCUGACGGAGCAACGCCGCGUGAGUGAUGAAGGGUUUCGGCUCGUAAAACUCUGUUAUUAGGGAAGAACAAAUGUGUAAGUAACUGUGCACGUCUUGACGGUACCUAAUCAGAAAGCCACGGCUAACUACGUG